ensembl:lncRNA
GGCAUAAAGGACAAAGCCACAGGACAGAGGAGUUCUCUACUGAGCAUCUCAAACUCUCCGGACUGUACAGCUGACAAAUACACGUGAAGCUACGUGACACCACUCUCAUCUACUUUCUGGAAGCGUGAAGCUUUUUCCGAUGCUUUGACUCUGGGUGCCUUGCUGACCCUAGAGGGUCUGUCCCUCCCAGGGCUGCCAAGUCCUGGAGGCAGUAAACUCGGUAAAGGCAGGAGCAUAACCUUCAUACACAAACUAACCAGCCCAGACAUGGACACCAUGUAUCCUCUAUCUGGCUCUCACACUCUGGACUGCUUUUCACCCACCCUGCUCACCCUGGCACCGGACAACCAGAGACAGCCCUCACACCCCAGAGACCUCUGAAAUGAUCCAAACCAGCCAGCCCCAGCCUGCUUACCUUGCUCCUCCUGUUCCUCCCCACAGAAACCACAACAAAGGUUAUUAUUGUCAUGUUCUCCUCCAAUUGCCUCUGCCUCCUGACUAAUCCCACUGCUCCCCCCACGGCAUCCAUGGUAUGCUGUGCCGUCUCGGGAAAUGAAACAGACUUUGUGCAUGAAACAA